rnacentral:lncRNA from 10 species
AUUAUAUCAAAAUACUCCAGAAUUUUUGAAAAUCUGAAGGAUGAGAUGCCCUAGGAAGAUGCCUGUGGAAAAGAACAGAUGGGGUUGGAUACGCCCAGGAUGUUAUGCAGAAGUCUCAGCCAGUGCCUGGGGCUGACUUCACUGGUGAUUCCCAUUCCUGGCCCUCCACUUCCCUCCAGGAUGGCCAAACCAUGGAUAAUCCUCAAUAGUAGAUAACUGAAAAAGAAAUUUACAUUCUAAAUGCAUUAUGGUGUAUAUAGGUAAUUAUUUUCCAGACUGAAUAUUCUACGGAUUCACUUCCAAACAUAACCUUUUAGAGGUUUAAGUUGACUGGAUAAUCAUCAGUUCACGUGGAAAAGAUCUGGCUUUUGUUGAUUGCAAGUUUCAUUCAUGCUAAUGGUGAACCUGGGCUGCCAAAAAACAUCCAGGCUUCAGGUUCUUUGGUGGAAGUCCAGGCAGGGAAGGCCAGGCACAGUGGCUCACACCUGUAAUCCCAGCACUUUGGGAGGCUGAGGUGGGCAGAUCACCUGAAGCCGGGAGUUUGAGACCAGCCUGGCCAACACAGCAAAACCCCGU